GAUGCCUAAGCUUGGAUGGGGCAUGAGUGGGGCUCUCCAUUUGGUGUCCUUCUAUGGCAAGCUAGCCCAGGCUUGUCCCCAUGGUGACCAGCUUGCAAGAGUGAGAAAGUAGGAAUGGGAGAGCAGAAGCUACAUAGCCUCUUGAGGAUGAAGGGACCCAAAUCCACCAGAAUGGUGUAAUAAUUGCUUUACACCUGAAGACAUUUGAGAUACAGCAGAUUCAACAGAUUCUUUCACUUGCUGGCUUUGAUGGAGUAAGCUGGCAUAUGGAGAGUCCCAUGUGGAAGCAAUUAAGGGUCACCACUUGCCAACAGUGAGCAAGGAACUGAGGCCCUCAUUCAGAAAAACUGCAAGGACCUGAAUCCUGCCAACAGCCAUGGGAACUUGGAAAUGCAUCCUUCCCCAGCUACAAGCCGUUUCCUCUGACUCCAGAACAUGUUCAUCUCCUCCUCGGUUUCCUGUCAUUGAGGCAACUGAUGCUGUUUCAUGAGAUCUCAGGCCAAUCCUACUCCUCCUGGGAAGCCCUCUCUGAUGUCACCGACCAGAUAGAGUCCCUCUAUUUUACACUCUCACAGGGCUCUCAGGAGGCUGAGCCCAUGUUGUCACUCAGAGACCCAGGUUUCAGCACCAUCUGGCUGCCCCAUCUGGAACCCUCAGCCUAAUUAGUUCCUC
rnacentral:lncRNA from 1 species